rnacentral:lncRNA from 1 species
UCAUGCGUCGGCCGCCUUUAUAGCUGAGACGCGCCGGGACCUCGGGGCUGCCUUCGGGCGGGACCCGCCAAUCAGGAGUGGGAGCGGGCGCCGGGGCGGGGCUUCGCCCGCCGGGCUCGCGGGGGUCCACGAGGCGGCCCGCGCGGCCCUACCCGGCCCGCCAGCGGCCCCACGGCGGCUUUAGGGUCUGCCCCGGCCGCCCGCCCCUGCCGCCCGCCGGGCGAAGACACGAGAAGGGAAGGUCCGGAGGAUAACUCAGAUGGCUGUGUUGGAGUAAACCUCUGGAGCUGCGGAGAUGUGGAGAAGAAGACACCUCAGCUAUAUUUUGGUUGGUGUUCGCAUGAAUCAGAGAUUGCUGCCAAGGACCCAUCGAGAACUGAUUCAAGAUAAUACUUUCCUUGGACAGUUGUGAAGAUAGUUUUACUGAUCGCUCCAUGAGAAGGAGGAACUCUAGACAUCACGGGUCCUUCGUUUAUCCAGCCAGUUUUAAUAAAACAGAAAAGACGGAGUGCAAGGGGGCAACAUUUGAUCUUAUUCUCGCAGGCUCUGUGUAGGAAUUAGAAGAACUGGAGUAAUUCACUUGUUAGAUUUGUUACGUUACAUUGGGGUAACAUUUCCUUCCAGAAUUCUGGGAAAGGAGCAUUCCCCAGACACAGAAGAAAGGAUACACAGUGACUCCGCCUCCUCCACUCCCAGGUUCUUUUUUAUAAAAUAAAAUGAAGGAAUUUCAAAGAACACAUCUUAGAUUCAAACAGUUUUUCAGGCAUCUCAGAAACAUUUGAUCACAAAUGUCCGGAAAAUAUGAUCACAAAUCCCAAUAGGAGGAGGUCACGUCGCUGCCUUUCUCCUCUGAGCCGCGUGAAGAACAGGUCUCAGAACACGUCUUAGAGAGAUACAGACAGACAGACGGCUAGGCAGACAGGUAGCAACGGGCUGGCAGAUAGGAGUUGUUGCUAGUGAAAUCCCAUCAUAGCAGGGUUCUCCAGGGCGCAGGAUGUCAAACUUAAUGCUUCAAAAGAGAUUGAAACCAUAUUUGAAGUGACAGUUCCUGAUCAGUCAAAUAGGUGAAGAUUUGCCAGUGGGGAGAAACAGGAAGAUUUCGCUGUGUCGCCCUCCCUGAGCAAACCCCAGUAACGAUUACCUUUCCAAACAGAAGCACUGACCACUUGGCAUUCGAAGAUUACAUAACCCAGUACAAUAAGAGAUCGAAAAAAUAAAUGGGGCAACACAGCACGUAGUUCAGAGAAGCAAUGCCUUUUUUUUUAUUAUAUGGAGCUUAAGUAGCUGACAAUGUGGACAUUUUCAAGUAACUGAGACAAGAACUAAAUGUUUUAGGAAGUCCUAAGUCAGUAGCAAGCAGUGCAUGAGGCUUUCCUUCUGGUGAUAUUCUUAGUAUGGUGCUAAAAUUUAAGAGGUCAUGGGUAGAAAAAGAAUUAUUUGGUCGGUAG